GAUGAACGCUGGCGGCGUGCCUAAUACAUGCAAGUCGAGCGAACGGACGAGAAGCUUGCUUCUCUGAUGUUAGCGGCGGACGGGUGAGUAACACGUGGAUAACCUACCUAUAAGACUGGGAUAACUUCGGGAAACCGGAGCUAAUACCGGAUAAUAUUUUGAACCGCAUGGUUCAAAAGUGAAAGACGGUCUUGCUGUCACUUAUAGAUGGAUCCGCGCUGCAUUAGCUAGUUGGUAAGGUAACGGCUUACCAAGGCAACGAUCAGUAGCCGGUCUGAGAGGAUGAACGGCCACAUUGGAACUGAGACACGGUCCAAACUCCUACGGGAGGCAGCAGUGGGGAAUACUGCACAAUGGGGGGAACCCUGAUGCAGCGACGCCGCGUGAGCGAAGAAGGUUUUCGAAUCGUAAAGCUCUGUCCUAUGAGAAGAUAAUGACGGUAUCAUAGGAGGAAGCCCCGGCUAAAUACGUGCCAGCAGCCGCGGUAAUACGUAUGGGGCGAGCGUUGUCCGGAAUUAUUGGGCGUAAAGGGUACGUAGGCGGUUUCUUAAGUCAGGUGUGAAAGCGUGAGGCUUAACCUCAUUAAGCACUUGAAACUGGAAGACUUGAGUGAAGGAGAGGAAAGUGGAAUUCCUAGUGUAGCGGUGAAAUGCGUAGAUAUUAGGAGGAAUACCGGUGGCGAAGGCGACUUUCUGGACUUUUACUGACGCUCAGGUACGAAAGCGUGGGGAGCAAACAGG
rnacentral:rRNA from 1 species